CGAGUUAGGGUUCAUCAAGAGCCCGGACCUCCCAACCCUUUGUUUAUCACACCCUUGUGUUGCUUCGGUAGGCCUGGCUCGUCCUACCGGAGGACCGUAAAACGUCCUCUGGAGAGUGCCUACCGAUGGCCCCAACCUCAAAACUCUUGUAACAAAACAUGUCUUGUCUGAGUAACCAAAACAAAAUUAAAAGCAAAACUUUCAACAACGGAUCUCUUGGUUCUGGCAUCGA
rnacentral:misc_RNA from 1 species